rnacentral:rRNA from 1 species
GGGGAAUCUUGCGCAAUGGGCGAAAGCCUGACGCAGCCAUGCCGCGUGAAUGAUGAAGGUCUUAGGAUUGUAAAAUUCUUUCACCGGGGACGAUGAUGACGGUACCCGGAGAAGAAGCCCCGGCUAACUUCGUGCCAGCAGCCGCGGUAAUACGAAGGGGGCUAGCGUUGCUCGGAAUUACUGGGCGUAAAGGGCGCGUAGGCGGAUCGUUAAGUCAGAGGUGAAAUCCCAGGGCUCAACCCUGGAACUGCCUUUGAUACUGGCGAUCUUGAGUAUGAGAGAGGUAUGUGGAACUCCGAGUGUAGAGGUGAAAUUCGUAGAUAUCCGGAAGAACACCAGUGGCGAAGGCGACAUACUGGCUCAUUACUGACGCUGAGGCGCGAAAGCGUGGGGAGCAAAC